rnacentral:lncRNA from 1 species
GGGAGCUCCGCCAGCGCAUUGUGCGAGCGAGCUGAAUGCAGCCGAGGGGCGAGCGCGCGGGCUCGCACGGAUUAGCCGUGCUUUCCCAUGAGCCACAAAAGAAUGCCCGAAUCUGGGACAUCUGUCAUCAAGGGGCAGGCUGCUCAGGAUGCAAGAUAUUGUCAAGAACCCUCUGCUCUACAGUUCUUUGCUGUUCUUGACCCACCUCCUUCAAACUCGGAUUUUCC